GCGGCCGGAGCUGGGAGGAGCGCGGCGCGGGCUCGCCUGGACGGCGGGGCCCCGGCUUUGGGGUGGUGGUGGGGGACGGUUCGUGCCGGCCGCGUAGGACCGAGCCGCGGGGACGGAGCGACCAGCCGGCUUCCGGGAACUAUCGAGCUGGGGGCUGGCGGAGCUGGGACACCGCCCCGGGGUUGCGCCCCUGGGGGCGGGGGGCGGCGAGACCCCUCCCCCCUUUGUCUUAGGUACUCGGAGGUGCGGGGCUGCGCGCGCGGGCCCGAGCAAUGAGCACAGCGCCCUGCCCUGAGCGACCCCUUAAAGUGCCCCGGCUUUGAUUGCAACCCCGGUGCACGGGGGAGUGGGAAAGGGAGUGAUGAGCGGAGAGACAAAGCGUAACUGCCAUUAUUAAGCACCCAGGCUGGCCGGGCGCGAUCACCACCCUUUUUUCUCGAGGUGGCCGCCGAGGCACACGGGACACAAAGCAGGUGCCCUAGGACGGUGGAAGAGGCAGGGCCGGGAUGGGAACCUGGGACUUUUGGCUCUUGGCCCAGUGCGCCAGGCUGAGGAAAACGUGUACUCGAACCGGGCUUUGAAAACCGGGAAGGGUUUGGUCCACCUCCUAGCAAAUUGUUUGGAAUGAACGUGAGAAAUGUUUGAAUUUUCAUCUCUCCCUCCAGGCUGAAGA